UGUCCCCUUCUAUCUUCUCCCCUCCUUUAGAUACUGGAAGGCCCCUGCCCAGCACAGGCAUAGCAUUUGUCUUGCUAAGAACCAAGGGGAUGCUCCUUGUUUUGUCUGUUCACUGGGGAAUUAUUCAGGAGCUGUGCUAUUGAUGCGGCCUUGGGAGUGGUGGGAAGGGAUUGCAUGUGAUAACCAGAAUGAAGUGAAAAGCGUUAAUUAGUGUAAUUAUUCGGUGGAGCAGAACUCUUUUGUCAGAACAAGCUGAGUUCAUUGAGAAGAUAACCCUGUUUGCAUUGUUUUGCUUUUAUUUAUAGGAUGAGAAACAGGCACUGGGCACUGGGAACAUCCCUGGUGCUGUGAGGCCAACUUCCCCCACUGCGAUGUCAAUGGGGAAAUAAGAGAAAACAGGCAUUGGCGUUUCCAUAGUGACUCUCAGGUUGGACUUCUGGAAAAGGAAAAGGUUACAGGAAUUUGGAUGCAUCCAAAGUGUUAAUUUUUAAGAAAACAAUUUUGUUUGUUUGGUUGGUUGGUUUUGUUUUUUUAAGACUUCUUCACUGUACAGAGAGGCAUGGAUGACCUCACAUGCAUUGCGUGGAGCAUUUGGAGACCACUUCUGUGCUGAACUGUAGGACGCAGGACCCACAAAGAUGCACUGCCCUUGCACAUGGGCCUCAUGAUGCGAAAGAAUGAAUUGCUGAGCUUCUUCAUGAGCAAACAAACGCAACCAGUCCCUGCCCUGGCCCACGGCAAUAUGCUCACAUGUCCCCACAAAACCCCCUGUGAUCUCAACUGGCAGCUGACACUGGGUCCCCAGCAUCACAGACUGCACAGUGCCCUCAGGAAUGCCCACCUCAUAUCUCCUCUGCUUUCCCUCUUCCUUCUGCUCUCACCAAUAAUUAUGGCUGAGGGUGUGUCAACGCCAUCAUUGUCCCAGGUCUCCAAGGACAACAGAGAGAAAUGCUGUGCAAACUCACCAGAGGUAACCAGUCGGAACAGGAGAGAACCAUCGUUUAGUUCAGCCAAGGCAGCUCUUUGACAGACCAACCUGCUCUGUAGAUAAUGAGCCUUUCCAGUCAUCCAUGAUUUAUUGUGAAAACAAAGUACUGCAUAACACACUGGAGAAGCUCAGAAGGAAGACCUGCAGAGUGUUUGUAUUUCCAUGGUAUAGAAGGGAGCUUGAGGCCAAUGAGGUUACAUAAAUGCUCAGAGUCAGUGGGGAACUGGGCAAAAGAGGAAACCCAGGCCCUGCACACCCCUAUCUAGAGCAGUAGCAGCAAGUGCUGUCGGGUGGAUAACCUGGGUUACACUGAUUUCUAAAGGAUCUUUUCAACAAAAGUCUUCUGUCAGGAAGCAAAUUUCAGGCAGCCCCCCCUGCUAGCUGCCUAAGCUUUCACACUGCCAGAGAGGAAUUGCUCUCUUUGACAAAGCUUUCAAAUCCAUUCAGGCUGAAUCUGCUUUCCCUUCUGGAUUUCAGUUAUUAACCAUUAUUAUUUAUCUCUGGUGCACCCAACCACCAUAUGUUCUUAAAUAAAGCCACUUUCCACUUCUUCCUUUCGUGCUUUGAGGCAAAUAGAAUUGCUGGAAAUGUAGACACGCAGAAGGCUGCCUCUCCUUUGGCAAGUGAAGGAUUUCUAGGUAAAUCUUCAGCACAGAUUACCUCUCACGCAGCUCUGCUGAAGCGCAUGAUGUACUGUGGAGUGUCUUUAUACACCACUUACUUGCAGGCGUGUAAUGAAAUAUCCCUUCUUUGUCCCAGCCUGGUUCCAAUUGUGUCACAAAGACAUAAAAGAAUUCUGAUAAUACAUCCAUCUCUUAUCUGGCACAACAGCAAGGUCGUAUUUUUAAUUUUGAAUGGGAUGACUAAAGGCACUUCAUUAGCCAAAAGGCAGAACUGUUAUAUGGCCUGGAGAAGCUGAAAUGGGAUGGAACACUCCUACAGCAUGAAAUAAGCAUUUAUAAAGCUAACCCAGCAGUCUGCUUCUUCCAGCUUCAGCUGGCAAGAACUGGCUGCCAUAAUGGGCAUGUUUUAAAAGUGGGAAGAAAAAAAUCUCAUUUUUCAGUUCCUCUUUGCAAAGGUACCAGUGAGCCACCCCAGAACAGGCUGCUCUAAGAGGUCGUGGAGUCUCCUUCUCUAGAGAUAUUCAAAUCCCAUCUGGAUGCUCUCCUUUGUUCCCCACUACCUACAGUGGAGAACCUGCCUUGCAUGAGGUUGCACUGCAGGAUCUCCAGAGGUCCUGUCCAAUUUCUGUGAUUCUAUGGGGAAAAGUGAGCCUUGGAAACAAUUUCUGACAACUUAAUGCUGUGUCACUGUCUCAGUUCUGUUCAAAAGCCUUUGGACACCAUUCUGGAGAGAGCUGGGACUACAUGAGAGGAAGAUUGGCACAAAAGGCACAAAACUGCUGCUUUUGUGGCCUAGCUUUCCACUAUUUACCAAUCAAAAGGGCAGAAAUCAAUGGAGUGGUGCACCUGAGCACUUGAUGUUGAGACAUUUAUAGGGUCUCUAUAGGGUCUCUAUAUAGGGUCAGUAUUCUCAGUAAUGUUGAGACCACUGAAGCUCAGCAGCUGCAGCCCCGUGCUAACAGUCUGUGCCCAGUAACAGUGCAUGUUAAGAAACCCAGCCCUGCUGAAGCUUUUGAUACCGCUGUUGCACUUGACAACUCAGACACUGAAGUGGUGCAGGAAAUGUCUCUUCCAGGCUCGCUAAUGCACAAACUGCCUCCUUGCACUUAGAGAAAUGCCUCUUGCAAGCACAUACUGUGCAAACACGUCAGUGUUUGUUAACUUGGGGCCUGAGAUGUGCAGCAGCCUCAGCGUAUUCCGACAGCAAGGAAGAUGAUGUUCCACCCCCUGCAGGGUCAGCUCUUAGCCUGUAAAUCGAGCUAUGUUCUCGUUCCUCAUCAAGUAAAUUUCCUUUCUCUGGCAAUUGCAUGCCUUGGAGUGGUGCCAGCCUUAUCUGAAUGUGCCUCGUCCCCUGGGAAAUUUCCUUGGGUAUUUUCUCUCAUGGGAAUGGGAAAGCUCAGAAUGAUGACGCACUGUGUUCAUACAAAUGCCAUACAACUGUUAACAGCAAACCAUGCACCAAUCCAGGGAAGAGCCCCACCGUGCAGCAGGUGGGAAAUGGUUGGAAUAGCAGUAGCUCUGAGAGGGCCUACAGCCAGAGGUUUCUGGUGCUCAGCAUCUUGUAUCAUAUCAACUGGUGCAGGUUACCCUGAGAGGUGGUGGAUGCGCCAUCCCUGGAGACACCCAAGGUCAGGCUGUACAGGGCUCUGAGCACCUGGUGGAGCUGUAGGUGUCCUCCUUCACUGCAGGACUAGAUGGCCUCUCAGAAUCCCUUCCAACUCAAACGACUCUGUGAUUGUAUGAUUCUGUGAUUGUAUUAGCUGCUAAGUGUUUUGAAGAUUAAAAGAUACAGUUAGGAAGUUAGGAAGAAACAUAGAAAUAAGCCAACAAUCCAGGGGCAAGCAAAUAAUCUCAUCAAGCCAACAAAAUAUUUCAGUUGAAGUACAGGCACUCACUGCAGUAAGGAUCUCAGUUUGGACUGGAAUUUCACAGAUGGUUUUUGUAUCUUUGGUCUUGCACCACACAUGAGCCCCAAAUGAUCCAGGCUUUGAUGAACCUUGGAGAAGAUGCUCCGUAUCUCAGCCCUGAAUGAAAUAUGCCACUGUAUGAGCAGUGGAAUUUUCCCAUGGGCUUGGAUUCUGCAUCUCCACAUUUCACUCCCAGCUCUCCCAUUCCCCUCUGCCUGGCCAGGAGAGUGGCAGCAUCUUCUGUGCUGCAUUGAAGUUACACCUGGGCUGGCUGGCCAGCAGUUCUUUCUUCUAUUUACACAUAAGAAACUGAAAGCCGCAUUCCCCUUUGUGAGGCUGCCCUGGGAAUGUGGAAGAUAAUAGCUGCAUAUGCCUGUAGGAUGUUAUAUGUGGGGGAUCUCUAUGUCUGUCAAGCAGAAAUGAAAGCAAUCAUUGGGGUAAAAUUGUUCUUAGCAGGUCACUGAGACAAGGUGACUGCAAAGGUGUUGGUUUUCUUGGAACGCUACGGUGUUAUAGAAGUCAGCUGGACCAGCUUACCUGUUUUUUAGUACUUUAACAAGUAUAUUCUGCAUCCAAGACCUUCACUCUAAACACAGGAUGUGACUAUUGAAUAGCAUUGAGUUGUUCAAAUUACCCUUCUGACAGAAGCAAAAGCAGCAGAACUUUGUUUGGAAGCUUUGCCCUAUACUGUCAUGUAGCCGAGCAUCACGGUUUGGUGCUAGAUGUCUGCACACUGUCUGGGGUGUGAAGAAGACAGGCUCAUGGGCUUUUGCUGGAGCCCUUUUCUAUGGCUCCACUCAGACUGGGGAUGGAAAUAAGGGCUGGCCCACUGUGGCAGAGCUGGGGAAGGAAGAGGCAGAAAACAAGAACCUGAAACAGCCCAUGACCAUUGGCUUCUGCCAGUUUGAGGUUGGAACAUAUUCCAAGUGCAUACAGGGUCAUGGGUUUCCUGAAGGCAGCAGCAGGUAUCGCUCCUGGCGUGGCUGUGCCUGCCUGCCUGGCCUCACACCACUGACAGUGCCAUUCCCAUCGGCCAGGCAAUGCCAUGUCCAGCAAAGUCCAAGCUGAAGGAGUUGCUGACGCCUUAACAAGGAGGGUAAUUUUCUUCCCAGCUAAUCUUUUCCAAAGAAUCACAGAAUGGCUUAGGUUGGAAGGCACCCCAAGGGUCACCAAGUUCCAACCCCUUGCCAUAGGCAGGGCCACCAACCUCCAGAUCUGGUACUAGACCAGGCUGCCUGGGGCCCCAUCCAGGACAUUAUGUUCUCUGUUACCGCCUCUUUUUAAGGCUAUGCAGAGAGCUUCUGGAGCUAAUUUGGGGAUAUCCUGAUAACAAAUGAAAUGUUAAGAAGACAGUCAGAAAAACUGGCCUUUCCUUGGAAUAAUUCCUAUGACCACAGCAUCCUAAGGCCUAAGUUCUCCACCUGCUUUUGUCCAACAGGAUGGAGAAAGAUUAUCUCUGAGACUGCUGCUCAUUCCCUGCUGUCAUGCUGGGAGGACGCAGUCCCAUCCACUGUUCCCUCUCUUCCAUCAUCAGAGAAAGGUGGGGAGAGCACAGAAAACCCCUCAUUCACACACUCUGGGUCCAACUGCUCUAUGAAUGACAAUUAAAAUUCAGGAAUUUAAUCACUCAGAGGCAGCAACAGUUCAGAGAAGAUGCAAAGAGAGACAAGAAAAUUCCAUCCCUUUUCCCUGCUUGAUUUCUCCAGCACAGAUUGGAAACCGGGAUGAUCCGUGCACUCUUGAGCUUCCUCAUAUUAUGGAGAGAUCUACGACCACAACCACAACUCCACUGUAUCACACUGCAGGGAUAAGGAAAAAGAAAUUCUUUGGGACAUUUUGAGGUAACAGAUGAUGGAAGAGCGGUGAGAUAUUGUUUUCUCCCCUGUGGUGAUAGAUUCAAAAGCCAAAGAAGCAGAAAGAUAAACUGUAAGAAAGGUUCACCAGCUGCACUGUUCAUUCAGAUAAUGUUAAAAAGCUCUGGAUCAAUGAGUGCAAAAGCAGAAUGUGCUUCUCUUGGCAAAACUUGCAAUGAAAUUAGAUGUCUACUUUACGUGGUAAUGGCUGCCAGGAAGGAGGCUCUGAUCUUUCAGCUGUCAUAUUUUUGCUUGGAACUGAUGGAUGUAUUCAACAUCAUCUAACAGGCGAAAAGAAAAGGCAAAAAGGAAGAGGAGCAGGCAACAGGUGAAACAGUGCUGAACAAUUCUGACCCACCAGGGACCAGCACCCAAACCAACCCCAAAGGCUGGCACUGCUCUUUGGCACUGGCUGCCAGUGCUUCAUUUUAAGGAUUAUUGGCAAUCUGCAAACAGUGGAGGCAGUGGGCAGCCUCAAAGAUCACAGCUUUCAGAGGCACAGAGAGCCUGGGCACAGGACACAAAGCUGCCAGGACAUGGAAGGCUGGAAACCACGAGCGGAGAAACAGCUGCUUGUGUUUUUCCACCACAUUUGGGCUCUGUGGAUAAAAGAAAUCACACACUGGAAAUAUUAUUUUCACUCCAUCAGCUCACCAGCAAAGCUCUGACUGCAUAGCUUAACACCUGUGCUGAAAGGUGGAAACUGGAUUUUCUUCCAAAACUUCAGCUGGGAUAGUAAACUUCAUCCCUCAUACACAUCAUUAUCAGUGAUAAAAGGAAGUUCAGGGAAGGUGUGUGCCCCCUCUGGAAGGAAAAUGGAGACGUGGUCAUGAGGGAUACGGAGAAAGCUGAGGUGUUCAAUGAUUGGAGCUGCAGGAACGAGUCCAGAGGAGGGCCACAGAGAUGAUCAGAGGACUGGAGCACCUCCUCUACAAGGACAGGCUGAGAGAGUUGGGCUUUUCAGCUUGGAGAAGAGAAGGCUCCAGAGGGACAUUACUGCAGCUUUUCAGUACCUGAAGAGUGCCUGUAGGAAAGCUGGGUGGAGACUUUUUAUGUCAGCACAUUGAAACAGGACAAGGGGAAUGGCUUUAGACUGGAAGAUGGCAGAUUUAGACUAGAUAUUAGAAAUUCUUUACUGUGA